CUUCGUAGAAAUCGCCAAUCCUUUGAAUGCCCAAACAUAAUGUGCCCACAUUAACAACUGAUCCAACCCCAGUCCAGCCCGGUCAUUUAUAAGCGACAACAAUUAACAGGGAAAAUGAAGAUUUCACAGGAAAUUCUCCACCAACAAUGUGCCCCGUUCGCCACCGGGGGAUAUCUCGCGUAUCAACAAUUACAAAUUAUACAAGAGUUUAUCGGGCGGCAAUUUCCUGACAAAUGAUCCCAGAUAGCAGACUGGUGCGUCGGGGCGGAACAAUCAAUCCAACACGUUCUAACGAUUUACAUGUCAACUUGACAGACAAUCGGCGUGGCUCGCGGAGAGAGAGAGACAAUGGUGUGGAGAGUGUGGAGAGUGGUGGCGCUAUCCUAACCGGCCAUCGAUCGGGACAACGACAACUUUGAAAUUGGAGUUUCACUUUCAUUUGUCAAUACUGUUUGACACCUUGUUGUGUGACAGCGAGCGGCGAUAGUCAUCGCCCCCCCUCUGUCCG
rnacentral:sRNA from 1 species